ensembl:snRNA U6 U6 spliceosomal RNA
GUGCUCGCUUCGGCAGCACGUAUGCUAAAAUUGGAGCGGUACAGAGAAGAUUAGCACGGCCCCUGCGCUAGGAUCACAUGCAAAUUUGUGAAAUAUUCAUAUUCUUU